rnacentral:ncRNA from 2 species
GGUCACGAGUGCCAGCGCGAAGCCCCGGCUCGCUGGCCGGCAACCCUUCCACCGCGACGGGGUGCUCCGGGUGACGACCUGGCGGCUGCGCAGCGCAGCCGCAAGCGCGGGUC